CCUCAUCACUCUCUGCUUUCUCCAGCAGCAGCUCCGGGAUUUCUCAGGACUGCUCCAGCUGAGGGGGAGUGUGGUGGGAGUUGCUGCGGGUGCAGGGAGGACACGUUAACACAGGCUGAAGGCCAACAGAAGGCACAUCCAGAAAGCUACUGGAGCUGGGGCCAGGCUUGCACGGUGGUCUGUGCAGAGCAGAGCCAGUCACACUGUGCAGGCUGGGAAGCAACGUGAUUAAUAUAGAAGACAUGAACAUGGCAGUGAAACCAGAGGGCUGCUGCCAAACUGUGAUGAAGAAGUAAAUCAGGAAGGUUCAUCUGACCCAACCUCCAGGCCUCCCACAGAGAUGUGGAUAUUUGAGCCAGACUCUCCGGGCUUCUUUUAGCAGCAGCCAAGAAAAAUAGGCACGUUCAAGGUAGGGUUCACCUCCCUCCACACAGCAAGGCUUGCAGCAGCAUGAGGAGACCCCAGGCUAGGCGCCAGAAAAGCUCCUGACAAGUGAACUGAAACCACUUGCAGAGGAAGAACCACAGCAGCAUCCAGCCGCUCCGGCACCAGGAGCACGGGGAUGCUGCCUUGGCUCCGGCACCGCCUGCUCUGCCUGGGUUUCUGAGUGCUGCCCCGGGCCUAAAAAGGGAAGUAUUUCUAAAAUUAUUCACUAUAAAAAGCAUUCACUCGGUCUCUGGUCAGAGGGGAGAGAAAAGUCUGUAAAGGGGCAUUCAAGCCACCAGUCUCUCUUCCACCUUAAUGUUUCCCACAGGUUUUGGAAAGAUCUCUCUUCCUGUGAGCGUUCCCAGCGCACAGAUUCCCGGCCAGUUCAAGCUUCAGCUAAAAAUAAAAAUGCUCGGGUUAACCUUGGGUUGCUCCCUACAGAAGGAAAUGUCCUGUCUCUGCUCAGCUUGCCAGGGGAAAGGAGCACUGUGGGCACUGCCAGAAGGAUGGAAAUUUCCGAGACCAGAAGGCUCUCAGCAAAGCAAGGCAGCCUUUCGGUGGGGUUCCCACCAUGAGGACUUCUGUCAUGUUCACACACUCCCAGACUACAACAGUUCCUCCUGAGUAUUCACCAUGCUCCUGUGGGACAAGUGUCCUGGAGUUGUCAGCUCAUGGAGAUCACAUAUGUUACUAUGCAAGGCUUAAAAAUAAGUAUAAUAUCCAAGCAAGGUGAAUGAUAGUUUUUUUGAUAACAAGGAACAUUAACAAAAAUAAAUAUAUAUGUUUCUUAUUGUGUUUUAAAACACAGCAUCCUUCCCACAAAUUA